AACGAACGCUGGCGGCAGGCCUAACACAUGCAAGUCGAGCGAGCAUUUCGGUGCUAGCGGCGGACGGGUGAGUAACGCGUGGGAACGUGCCCUUUUCUGCGGAAUAGUCCUGGGAAACUGGGGGUAAUACCGCAUACGCCCUUUUGGGGAAAGAUUUAUCGGAGAAGGAUCGGCCCGCGUUGGAUUAGGUAGUUGGUGGGGUAAUGGCCCACCAAGCCGACGAUCCAUAGCUGGUUUGAGAGGAUGAUCAGCCACACUGGGACUGAGACACGGCCCAGACUCCUACGGGAGGCAGCAGUGGGGAAUCUUAGACAAUGGGGGCAACCCGGAUCUAGCCAUGCCGCGUGAGUGAUGAAGGCCUUAGGGUUGUAAAGCUCUUUCAGCUGGGAAGAUAAUGACGGUACCAGCAGAAGAAGCCCCGGCUAACUCCGUG
rnacentral:rRNA from 1 species